GCGCUCGUAGCUCAGCUGGAUAGAGCGUCUGACUACGAAUCAGAAGGUCGCGGGUUCGAAUCCUGCCGGGCGCG
rnacentral:tRNA from 1 species